rnacentral:rRNA from 1 species
ACUCCUACGGGAGGCAGCAGUGAGGAAUAUUGGUCAAUGGACGCAAGUCUGAACCAGCCAUGUCGCGUGCAGGAAGACUGCCCCUAUGGGUUGUAAACUGCUUUUAUUACGGGAAGAAAUAUAGCUACGUGUAGUUAUUUGCCGGUACCGUAUGAAUAAGCAUCGGCUAACUCCGUGCCAGCAGCCGCGGUAAUACGGAGGAUGCGAGCGUUAUCCGGAUUCAUUGGGUUUAAAGGGUGCGUAGGCGGAAGUAUAAGUCAGGGUGAAAGUUUGUGGCUCAACCAUAAAAUUGCCUUUGAUACUGUAUUUCUUGAGUACAUUUGAGGUAGGCGGAAUGUGUUGUGUAGCGGUGAAAUGCUUAGAUAUAACACAG